rnacentral:rRNA from 1 species
UGGGGAAUCUUAGACAAUGGGCGCAAGCCUGAUCUAGCCAUGCCGCGUGGACGAUGAAGGCCUUAGGGUUGUAAAGUCCUUUCAGCUGGGAAGAUAAUGACGGUACCAGCAGAAGAAGCCCCGGCUAACUCCGUGCCAGCAGCCGCGGUAAUACGGAGGGGGCUAGCGUUGUUCGGAAUUACUGGGCGUAAAGCGCGCGUAGGCGGACCAGAAAGUUGGGGGUGAAAUCCCGGGGCUCAACCUCGGAACUGCCUUCAAAACUCCUGGUCUGGAGUUCGAGAGAGGUGAGUGGAAUUCCGAGUGUAGAGGUGAAAUUCGUAGAUAUUCGGAGGAACACCAGUGGCGAAGGCGGCUCACUGGCUCGAUACUGACGCUGAGGUGCGAAAGCGUGGGGAGCAAACA